rnacentral:rRNA from 1 species
UAACCUGGUUGAUCCUGCCAGUAGUCAUAUGCUUGUCUCAAAGACUAAGCCAUGCACGUCUAAGUACAAACUAAAUGAUGGUGAAACUGCAAAUGGCUCAUUACAACGGUUAUGAUGUACCCGGGAGUUCCGAUGGAUAUUUCCAGUAACACUAGAACUAAUACAUGUCCCUGCGUUUAUUAGUUUCGCACAGUCCGUCGCUGAGUCAUGGUAAACAGUUGAUCGACUCGACGUCCCGGAACAGUUUCCGCCCCAUCAGCUUCGAUGGUUGGGUAUUGGCCUACCAUUGCAACAACGGGUAACGAGGAAUUAGGGUUUGAUUUCGGAGAGGGAGCCUGAGAAACGGCUACCACAUCUACGGAUGGCAGCAGGCGCGCAAAUUACCCAAUGCAGACACUGUGAGGUAGUGACGAGAAAUAAUAAAGCGGGACUUCUGUUUCGCUAUUAUAAUGAGGAAUAACCAAAAGGUCAUUCCGAUUAGCAACUGAUGGGAAAGUCUGGUGCCAGCAGCCGCGGUAAUACCAGCGUCAGUAGCAUAUAUUAAAAUUGUUGCAGUUAAAACGUCCGUAGUCUGUACGUCGUCCCAAACUCACUGCAGUCUUCCGUUUUCUUAAUUGAAUGCGGUAGUUUCUGCAGUCACUCCCUUGAUCAAAUUAGGUUGUUCAAGGUAGACCAAGUCUUCAUAUUUUCACAUGGAAUUGGGUGAGGGAACUUAAGAGUUUAAGUUUCUCGUCUUAGGAUCAUCCGGGGUCAUUCGUACUCGUCCGCGAGAGGUGAAAUUCUUGGACCGGACGAAGACGACCAGCAGCGAAAGCAUCUGUCAGGGAUGUUUUCUGCGACAAAGGACGAAGGUCAGGGUAUCGAAGACGAUUAGAUACCGUCGUAGUCCUGACUGUAAACUAUGCCAACUUGGGUCUUGCUGGGCGAUGCUUUGUGAGACCCACACAGAAAUGAAAGUGUAUGGGUUCUGGGGGUAGUAUGGACACAAGUCUGAAACUUGAAGGAAUUGACGGAAGAGCACCAUAAGACGUGGAGCUUGCGGCUUAAUUUGACUCAACGCGGGAAAACUUACCAGGUCAAGACAUGGGCGUGAUUGACAGGCUAAUGACUUUUCUCGAUUCCAUGGAUGGUGGUGCAUGGUCGCACUUAGUUGGUGCAGUGAUUUGUCAGGUUUAUUCCGGUAACGAACGAGACCUUAGCCU